rnacentral:rRNA from 1 species
UACGGGGGGGGCAAGCGUUGUUCGGAAUUACUGGGCGUAAAGGGCUCGUAGGUGGCCAACUAAGUCAGACGUGAAAUCCCUCGGCUUAACCGGGGAACUGCGUCUGAUACUGGAUGGCUAGAGAUUGGGAGAGGGAUGCGGAAUUCCAGGUGUAGCGGUGAAAUGCGUAGAUAUCUGGAGGAAUACCGGUGGCGAAGGCGGCAUCCUGGACCGACAUUGACGCUGAACGGCGAAAGCUAGGGGAGCAAACGGG